GGAUGGCUGGCUCAGUGGUUAAGAGCACUGACUGCUCUUCCAGAGGCCCAGAGUUCAAUUCCCAGCAACCA
rnacentral:tRNA from 1 species